AGCGGAGUAGAGGAGUUCGGUCGUCCUCGCCGGCCUCAUAAGCCGGAAACCGCGUGGUUCAAAUCCCGCCUCCGCUACCA
rnacentral:tRNA from 1 species